rnacentral:rRNA from 11 species
GAUUAUUGCCAGAGUACUCUGAGGUCAGAGUGCAUGUUAUUUCUGGUAUGUAUUUUGUCUUGGAAGCUAAGCAUGGUUAUUUCUUAUUAGUACUUGAAUAGGAGACUGCCGGUGAAAAUAGAUGCUGUAGGCU